GUGGGGAAUAUUGGACAAUGGGCGAAAGCCUGAUCCAGCAAUGCCGCGUGUGUGAAGAAGGUCUUCGGAUUGUAAAGCACUUUCGACGGGGACGAUGAUGACGGUACCCGUAGAAGAAGCCCCGGCUAACUUCGUGACAG
rnacentral:rRNA from 1 species